AUAGUCUCUUUCUAUUUCAUUUUUUAUUGGUAAUUGUCUUAAAUUAUUAUCAGGAUGGACAUUCUAAAUCCCCUGAGUUAACUAAAAGAUUAAAGGCGAACAACUUUUCCCACCUCUUUCCGUAGCCAACUCCAUUGGGAUGAUCAAAAUAAGCACUUUUAAUAUCAAGUUUUAGGAUAAGGUGCUUACUAUUGCAGUGACAUAGAAGAGAUACCAAGAACUUACUCCUCCUAGUCUCCUACCCAGUGUGCCAAGGCAGGAUACUCUAAAAGGGGAUUGAUGUGUCAACAAGGAAAUCAGCCACUACACAAUAGCUGAUCCGUAGUAGAUGCUCAGUGGAUAGAUGGAUGGAUGUUGAAAGAGAAAGGAAACCAAAACACAGAAAAGGUUUCUUACCCAUGGUUACAGAGCUAGUAAGUGGCGGCACCCAGAGUCUCUGCUCUUGUCAAUGACCAUACCACCUUCAUAUAUGUUUCAUAAAUAAAGGUAAAGGCUUCUUGUAACAAUCAUGCAUCUACCUCCCCUAUGAAUAUUUUCUUUUUGUUAUACUUCUAAUUUUUACCUAGGUAGUUUAGUGCCUGCAGUGUUUCACAUGGUCUGUGGAAGGAAAUGACUACUGUAGAGUCCCUGAGGUUGAACUCAGAUACUAGUGACAAAGGACAAGAGGAAAUGUGCCAGACCCUAGGAGAACUGCAGCAUGAAGUACAGACAUUGGACUCUUUUGGUGUGUGAACCAAACUCAGCAUUCAGGAGGCCCCGUGUCAGUGCCCUGGUGUCCCUAAGCAGUGUCUCUACUGCCAACUCUCCACCAUCCCAGAAAGCCUUUGUCCCAUGGUGCCAACAACCUGGCAGGGUUUUCUCUUUAUCCCUGAUAUUCAGGGCCUCGAGACUUUCUUGAGUCCUAAAAGGUUUUUUCCAUUAUUUAUGCAAUUAUUACCUCUCCACAUGUUCUUUUCCUCCUAUUUGUUUUGUCUCCUGGAUAUGCUCUCCACACAACUUGCCUUUUCCCUCAGGGUCUAUCACAGGGUAUCUUGUGAGAUAUUUUCACCUGAUUUUUCUGACCACUAGUGUGGUUCUCAAAGGCAGCCAUUCUCUUUCUGUUGGAUAUUGAAUUUCUAAUUAAGAAAUCAUGUUUUUUAAUUCCUGAAAGCAUUGGGUUUUGGUUUUUUUUGUUUGUAGUGCUGUAAUUCCAUUAUAUUUUCAUUAAAAUUCUCAUCUGUUUCUUCCAUUGGUUCUACUACAGUAGGAAUCUCCAGUUUCCCUUCUGUUAGCCAUCUUUCUUUCCAAACCCCAUGUGAGGUUUAGUUUUCUUUGCUCCUCAUGGUUGUGGUUCCCUCAGUACCUGCCAGCAGCCUGCCCUGCACAUUUCUUGGGCAGUAGCGAGCCAGGUGGUGAAAGGCAGAUGGCUUUAGUUCUCACGACCUGAGACCUGCUACCCACAGCUGAAGGGAUGUGAAAAACCUUCUUGCUCCCAAUGUUUUCAGUCACGAGCGUCGGUUCCUCUCUACUACCAAGACUGGAAGUACUUUCACUCCACUUGAACGCCAUUUCAAGGUGUCCUGGGGUCAGCAAGUUUGUUGCAGCAAACCACAAGUUAAGGUCCCCUGUGAAGGGGAACCUAGAAUAAUGCUUUUAAUGCAACCUAAUGCAACUUAAUGAAUUCAAUCUGUAUCUCCUGGCUUGAGAUUUGUUCAUGAUUUUUAUUUUUACAAAAUUUUUAUUGUAACCUUCUGAGUUACAGAAUUAUGUAUUGAGUAUGAUUCACCUUUUGUAAUCAAACCAAGCGUCUCUUUGUGAAUAAGUUCAUAUAUGUUGGCAUAAGCAUGGAGAAAGGUGUUGAGAAGCCUACAUACCUUGGUGUAGGGAUAGAGGAAAUAGUAAUUAUUCCACUUAUUCCAAUGAGAUCAUAUUACUUUCAAUUAUUUGCUAACCGGAUAAAAAAAAUUUAGAGGUUGGAUGGUAGACAUGUUAGGGAGUGGAAGGAAUGAAGGAGGUUAUGGUCUGACACUGAAAUAUUGGAAACAUUAGAAUUGGAUUUUCACAGGUGCAAUAGUGUGGGACAAGGAAAAAGUGAGAAGUCUGGUUGAGGUGUAGUGGAGGUCACUGGAACACAGGAUGCCGUGAAACUGAGAAGGCACGGAUGUUAAAGCCAUCUAGAAUGGCAGGAAUUGGGGUAGAGGUGAAGGGCAAGCAUCCUGGGUAAACAUGGGCAGGUGAGCAGGUCGCUGUGCUACAGAAUCAAAGUACUCUACUACUUGUUUCUGAUUGCAUUUAGAAUAAAAUCCAAAGUCUUCAACGUGACCCUUACGGCCUUGCAUGUUCUGGCCCUCAUGUCCAUGGCCUCAAGGCUCUGCCCACUUCCUCACUCCUACCACUCUUUCCUUACUCACCUUACCCACCGUGCCCAGUUGCACUUGCUUUCCCUGAAAACUGAAUUCAUGCCUUCCUUCCUUUUGAAAUACUCUUUCCCUCACUUUGGCCUCACUGGAUCCUCCUCAUUCACAUAGCUUCCUACUCUUUCCGAAUUGGCAAUUUUUUACUUGUGUGAUUGCAUCACAUCUGUUUCCCUAGAUUUUAACAGUGGGAGUUACUGUCCGGUAGCCUACAUCUAACACAGUGCCUGGUACGUAGCCACUAAGCAUGUAUUUGUUGGAUGGAUAGGUAGAUGGAGGGAUGGCAAUGCUGCCAUUAGUUCUGAGCUUCAAAGUAGGGCAAGGGGAGUUGCCAGGAAAGGUAGGGAAGUUACACAGUCUGGAAGAAUGAGUAGCUCUCUCUCUUGCCAUCUGCAGGGGAAGCCGUUUUGUGGGUGAGGUGGCAGGUUUCCUUUCAGGCAGAGGUAGAGUCUGAAGAGACUCAGGGUACAGGAGACCUUAUUUAUGAUCAGACGUGUGUCGCAGAGGCUACAGUGGAAAAUGGGAGGGAGUCGGCAUUGGGAGGUAGUCAGGAAAAGUGGAAUGGGUUGCUUCAGGUAGUUUUAAGAGGAAUUUCUUUUUUUCUUAAGAUUAAUAAAAAUCCCAUCUGGUGUCUUCUUUUCUUCUGAUACUACUCGGUUGGGAACGUUGCUUACGUCCCAAGUAUAAUGUUAGUGUUUUUGAUUUAAUGUUACAAUCAGUUGCAAUACUUUAUAACACUUCCAUGAGAGAAAAAAAUAUUAAAAAUAACUUCUUUCCUUAAAAUUUAAGAUUUCCUUAAGAUUGUAAAGUUUAGGUACAUUAAAAAAAAAGUAUCUUGCUUGUUCUUUCUUUGGCAUGGCUUGAGGGUGGGGUUAGAGGGAAGGAGAACUGUUAGGAGCCCUCUAUGUUGUUUGUUGUUACUUGGUGAAGUUAAUAUUGACAACAGACUAAGCUUCAAACCAGAAAAAUUAAACCUGUGAUUAGCUGUCACACAUUAUUUUUAAUAAACAUUUUAAUUGUAAACUGUGACCACUUUUGCAAGCUUAUUUUUUGCAACUUCUUUGUAAAGUAGAUCUCUUUCCUAUCAUUUAAAAAAACACAAUUUUUGAAAGAGAACUGAAUAGAGUAUUUGAAUCUAAUAUGGUAAGGCAUAUGUAAAUGAUCUUUUAAAAAUGGCAAUUUUAUUUUUGUAAUUAAUGGUAACUAAAACUUCUUGAAUGUCACCUGAAUACUAUCUAAAACUUUUUUAUAUUUAAAAGAUUUUGUUUUACUUCUCCAGAUGAGCAUAGUUAAUUCUUUAAAACUUCAUAAGUUUUCAUUUCCAUGCCAGAAGUCUAACUUGGGUUUUACUAUUUUGAACUUGUCUUAUUUGAGAGUUGUAUUUUAGCCUUUCUGAUAGUGUUCAUAAAAUUGAAAUGAGAAAUAAGAAUUUUAAUUAAAUGAGCUGACUCCUAUUAAAACACUAAACCUGGGGAUCCCUGGGUGGCUCAGCAGUCUGGCGCCCGCCUUCAUUUAGCCCAGAGUGAUCCUGGAGUCCCAGGAUCAAAUCCCACAUCCUGCUCACUGCAUAGAGCCUGCUUCUCCCUCUGCCCGUGUCUCUGCUUCUCUCUCUCUCAGUGUCUCUCAUGAAUAAAUAAAUAAAAUCUUUAAAAAAUAAAAUAAUAAAACACUAAGCCUACCACUUGAAAAUCUUUUUGUAGACAUAAAGAUUUAUAUCUAUAACUUUCUUUUUUCUGCCUAACAUAUUAACAAGUCUUACACAUUAAUAAAAUUUGAAUGUCCAUCAGAUAAAAUGGCCAAAGGAUAAAAACAGGUCAGAAGAAUUCCCAAUGGCUAACAAAUAAAAAUAAGAUCUUCAAAUUUAGAGGCACCUGGGUGGCUCAGUUGGUUAGGUGUCUGCCUUUGCUUUAGGUCAUAAUCCCAGAGCCUUGGGAUCAAGCCCCACAUCCAGC